CACGUAGGGGGCGAGCGUUGUCCGGAUUUAUUGGGCGUAAAGGGCUCGUAGGCGGUCUGUCGCGUCGGGAGUGAAAACUCAGGGCUUAACCCUGAGCCUGCUUCCGAUACGGGCAGACUAGAGGUAUGCAGGGGAGAAUGGAAUUCCUGGUGUAGCGGUGAAAUGCGUAGAUAUUGGGAGGAACACCAGUGGCGAAGGCGGCUCACUGGACCGGAACUGACGCUGAGGCGCGAAAGCGUGGGGAGCAAACAGGG
rnacentral:rRNA from 1 species